AGGGGGUAAAUCUACGAGUUUACCCCUCCGUUCCCAUUAGCCGAUCAUGGAUUGGCUUCUUCCUCGCCCUCGGACGCUCCAAGAGAAGGCGAAGACAUGAACUGCCGGAGCCUGGAGGAGUUCUGGCCCGUCUACGUGAGCCAGCACUCGAAGCCCACCACGCGGCGCUGGCACUUCGCCGGCACCCUCUCCGCCCUCCUCUCCCUCCUCCUCGCCCUCGUCCUCGCCCGCUGGCCCUUCCUCCUCCUCGCCCCCAUCCUCGGCUACGGCCCCGCCUGGUGCAGUCACUUCUUCGUCGAGGGCAAUUCCCCCGCCACCUUCCGCCACCCGCUCUGGUCCCUCCUCUGCGACCUCAAGAUGUUCGCCCUCAUGCUCACUGGCCAGAUGAAUCGGGAGAUCAAGCGCCUCGGCAAGAGACCCGUGCUCCACGCCUUCUGAUCUUCUUCUGCGUCGAUUGGUCGAUCGGAUCCUCCAUCCGACCCACCUGCCCUCGUCGUUGUUGCGGAUGUGAUCCUUUGGAGGAGAAAGAAUGUAACGAUAGCGAUACUGCUUGGUGCACUGGCUUCUUGGCUGGUUUUUGAAGUGGUGGGAUAUACGCUAUUGUCUCUUGUUUCAAACGUUCUGCUGCUGCUGAUUUCC